rnacentral:rRNA from 1 species
UACGAAGGGUGCAAACGUUGCUCGGAAUCAUUGGGCGUAAAGCGCACGUAGGCGGCUUUGCAAGUCGGACGUGAAAUCCCUCAGCUCAACCGAGGACGUGCAUCCGAAACUGCAAGGCUUGAGUACUGAAGAGGAUCGCGGAAUUCCCGGUGUAGAGGUGAAAUUCGUAGAUAUCUGGAGGAAUACCGGUGGCGAAGGCGGCAUCCUGGACCGACAUUGACGCUGAAAACCGAAAGCUAGGGGAGCAAACGGG